rnacentral:rRNA from 1 species
UACAGAGGGUGCGAGCGUUGUUCGGAAUUAUUGGGCGUAAAGGGCGCGUAGGCGGCGCCACAAGUCACUUGUGAAAACUCUGGGCUCAACUCAGAGCCUGCAAGCGAAACUGUGGUGCUGGAGUAUGGGAGAGGUGCGUGGAAUUCCCGGUGUAGCGGUGAAAUUCGUAGAUAGUUGGGAAGAACACCGGUGGCGAAGGCGGCUCUCUGGACCGAGACUGACGCUGAGGCGCGAAAGCGUGGGGAGCAAACAGG